rnacentral:misc_RNA from 1 species
GUCGGCCGGAGCAGAUGGUGGCGGAGGCGCUGCCGGAAAUCAACCACAGAAUUACCAUUGCUACCAAUGUGAACAGACAGUUACCAUUACGCCAUCACCAAAUUCAGAGCUCUCAUGCCCAAAUUGCAAUGGUACGUUUUUAGAAGAAUCGGAAACCGCACCACCUUCCAACCCUAAUCCCAAUACUCAUCCCUUCUUCUCCGCCGCCACUACCGAUGACCUACCUUUUGGAGGUGGAUUUCCGAUUGUUUUCUCUUCAAACGCUGCUUCACCUGCCGGUGGUGCUGUCGGUUUUGAUGAUCUUUCUGCUUUAUUUGGAGGUAUGGCUGGUGGUUCCGCUGCUUUACCAGGUCGAUCCCCCAAUCAAUUUGACCCUUUCGCUUUCCUAAACAACUAUUUUAGUAGUAUGAGGGGUGGGAAUAUUCAGUUAAUCUUCGAGAAUCAUCCUGAUGGAGGCGGUGGUGGAGCUGGUGGUGAUUUUAGGAUUCCGGGGAAUCUAGGUGACUAUUUUCUAGGGCCUGGGCUUGAGCAAUUGAUUCAACAGCUUGCUGAAAAUGAUCCAAAUCGUCAUGGUACACCUCCGGCUGCAAAGUCGGCUGUUGCUGGGCUUCCAGAUAUUAAGAUCACUGAGGAGUUGUUGGAUUCUGAUUCAUCUCAAUGUGCAGUUUGUAAAGAUACUUUUGAACUCGGCAUGGAGGCAAAGCAGAUACCUUGCAAACAUAUAUAUCAUAAGGAUUGUAUAAUGCCAUGGCUGGAGUUGCACAAUUCUUGCCCAGUGUGUCGAUAUGAGCUGCCUACUGAUGAUCCUGAUUAUGAGAACAGGAAGACAUCACAGCAGCAGACUGCCAAUACUAGUAAUACAAAUACCAACACUAGUAAUAAUAAUACCAACAACAACAAUACUGGUGUGAUGUUUGGGGGUUUAGAAGGUGGGGGAGAUCAGGACAGUUCUCAGACAUCUAGUUCAGGGGAGAGGAGGCUUAGGAUACCAUUGCAAUGGCUUUUCAGGGGACUUGGAUCACCUGCUGAGACGAGCAACAGUGGAGGAGCAAGCAAUGAUGCUAACAAUCGCAACAACAACAAUGCUCCUAGUGGGGAGUCUAAUCCAGGUUCUGGAGGGCAGCCGAGGCAGGAGGAUCUCGAUUAAAGUAUGGAGUAGAGUUCUGAGGUUUUCUCCAAAUCUUGCAUGUUCAUAGUUGUUACAUUAAGUUUCUUGUAUGCUAGUAUUCGAGAAUUACAAGUUCCCCAUCCUUGUAAU